CGCAUCCACUCCUUCCCUCAGUCGCCACUCACCAUCCCCAAUUCCCCAUCUUUCUCGCGCUAGAAGCAGCACCGCCGCCUCCCAGUGCCGCCACCCUGGAUCCCCCACGCAUGCCGCCGCUCUAGAUCCCCACCCAUGCCUCCGCCUAGUGCUGUCGCCCCCGCAUCCACCACCCAUGGCGCCAUCUUCGGAUCCCCCAUCCACGCCGCCGUUGGAGGUCAGCGGCAAGUUCACAAGCGACCUUCGUGAACGGCCUGGCGAUCUUGCUUCCGUCCAUAGCACACAGUAGACGUUGGCGUCGGCAGGUUCGUUCACCAUGGCGGUUGCGCUGGUGGGGUGAGCCUGGCCUUCGAUGCGCUCUAACCGCCUUUCAACCCUCGUUGCGUGCUCCCGCCAUCACGGGCAGGCCUGUAGGUCUGGCGCCCACCACCUCUCUAUUCUUCUGCUUUCCACACCAUGUGUCUGUACGCUGCUCCCUCUUCUUCCUUUCUGUUCCUCUGUUCUGCUAACUGAAUGGUCCAGAUAAAGUUUAUUAUCGAGAGUUUUGCUGCAUGAUAACUAUUUUCUACGUACUAAAUAUGUUCCGUUUUCGUCUCUCUUUCCCUCUUGUUAAAAUCAUAUCCUCACUGCAGCUAUAGCUUAAUCAAUCAAAUUCAUAUGUCCUGUUUAGAAUUUCUGCAGCGAAAAAAGCCCUCUUAAUUCAAAUAAUAAUAAUUCUAGUUGUUGUUUAGAUAUUUUGUUGGCAAUUCUACAUAUACAUGGAGCCAAUAGAUGUGAUUGAAUAUGGGCUUUUGUGGGUCUGCUGUUCUUGGUUGUUCAGAAAUGCAUGGCUCAAGUUUGCUCUGUCUAUAAGCUUUGCAAUGCUGCAUGUUCAGGGAGCCAAUAGAUGUGACUGAAUAUAGAUGCUAGCUCAAGUUUGCUCUGACUAGAAGCUAGUACUGGCAAAUGUCGAUGUGGCCAGAUGACAUUGUGCCAAUUGAAUUUGAGUCAGCUAGUAGCAAUCUAGCAUAAAUAUUUUGCUCUCAAAUGCAGUUCUUUAGUUAUAUUUAAUCCCACAUGUUGUGCCCUGGUGUGUUUGUGAGAUACUGAGAUGUCUUGCUACUUUUAUUGCGCACGUAAGGUGGCCGGGAGCUUGUAAAACUGCAUGUCAUAUCUGAUGUUUGGAUAUAUGAUUUUAUUGUUUGACCCUCCCUGAAAGUACAUGGUCUCAUUAAAUUAUCUACAUUUAACAUGACAAGUUCCAGAAUAAGUGUAAUGAAUAUAUUUGAUUAGUAUAAAUAAGACGAUAUGUUCUAGAAUAUGAGGUAAUGACAGAUAACAUGCAUGCUUCUUAGACUGGCUUGCAUAUUUCGCUGUUAUGAACCUGAUAUACAUCAUUCGUAAAUGCUUAUAUCUUGCUAUUAUGAAAGUUAUAUGCUUUUUAAUGAUGUGAUGCAGUUGUAGUGGCGUGUAAUAUGUAUUCAUUGUAAUAUUUUCUUAGUUUUGGAGAUUGGUUAGUAUUUUGUGGUUGAUGGUUGUAGCUGGCUUUUUCUCCAAAAAUUUACAUCUGUACAAAUUGACCAGAAGUCCAGAAUAGUCUUAUACUUAGUCUUAUACUUAGCACUCCGAUCUUUGUAGAAAAACCUUACUGGGUCCAAAGCUGUCCAGAUGCAUGGUGAAUGAUGGCUGAGAUGUGGUUCACAUGAAAUGAAAAGAAAAUUCUUGUGCUUGCAGGGAGCGGAAGCGGAUGUUAUUGUGGUCACCGUUAAGAGAGUGCUUUUUUGGCCCACUACCAAAGAAAAAUGGUGGGUUCCCACUUGAUUAAAACUAUCAUUUUUGUUCUUUUUUUCCAGAAAAGGCAAAACCGCUCAAGAUUCUGCUCUUCUUCAGAAUAUUCACAAGUAAAUGAUUUUCUUGCUUGUAUACAAGACAUUUCAGCCACUUUCAUGGAAGUAACGAAGCUGACCAUUUUAAUUAGGCUCACAAGCAGCUGAAUUGUGUAGGUCGCUCCUCCACUCAGGGGACAUGAUGCCGUCCCACUGUCCCUUCAUUGUGAUGCUGCCGUGGACACGCAUAUUGGGCUGCACUCUUAGGAUGGACACCAAGAUUGGCUUCCUCUCGCCAGCGCUGGGGCUGUGAGGAGCAUGAGGUAUUGCGGCCUCAUGUUGUUAUUGCUAGAGUAAUCUUUGUAAAUUCUAUCUUGACUUUUUGUAAGAAAGGAUUGCUAUUGCAGUGCAAUUGUUCUAGGUGGUGUAGUAUCUUGGCACCUUGUUAGGAUUAACAUGAUAUGCCAUUUAUUGUCUCUCUAAUGAAUACAUACUACAGUACUUGCUCUUUCUAGUGUUAGUUUGGGUUUGCAGACCAUCUAUCCUCAUAAUCUGUUUACAAGAUUGUUGUCUUGAAAAAUAUGGAAUUUUUUUAUGUGAAGAAGCAUUAAUGCAUUUUAGGACUCGACGAGUUGUGUGGCCUUUGAAAAAAUUGGCCUCCUCGCGUGAAUGUGUUGCUUGUUCUUUGUAUUUCUGCAAGACGAAGGUUUGGUAACUGAUCUGAUUGGUAUGUCUAUGAUGUUCUUGUGUUCGUAUAUUCUUCAGUGGAAUAAUUGUUGUAUUAUUCUGACUAGCUCUUACUUUCAGGUGGUUGUCAAAAUACACUAUGGAACAUAAAUACUUGUGAGAUGUAUUAAUUAAUUAGUUGCUUCUUUUUUCAGGUUAUUGUAUACUGCUCUUGCACUCACAAGUUUAUAGAUCUGUGUUUUGUCAGCUAAACGGAUCUAUUGCUAGAAUCUAAGGAAGUUUUUGGACAUUUUAAUAUCUAUCUGAUGAAGUAGCACUCUAGGAUGGAUCUGUUUCUAACUGAAACCAGAUGUUGUAUUUAGUGAUGUUGCAUUUGUAGGACAUAUGGCCAUCCCAUGUAUGUAUGUAUGGACGAUGGAUUGUUGUCCUUUUGGCUAUGAGGUAGUACAGGACUUGUGAACCUACAAAUGUAUUUCUAAUUAUGUAUGUCGUGAUGUAGUAUUGGACCUGUGAACCUACAGAUGUAUAGCUAUGUAUUGUUGAGAUAUGUAUUGUUGUUAUAUAUACGAUACAACCUAAUUACUCUACACGUGUGAAGUUCCAUCUAUACAUUGUAUUCUAAAUUAUGGUACAAAAUCAAGUGGAGAUAAAUGACAGGUUGAACUAGAAGGGGA
rnacentral:lncRNA from 1 species